rnacentral:rRNA from 1 species
CCUACGGGAGGCAGCAGUGGGGAAUAUUGCACAAUGGGGGAAACCCUGAUGCAGCGACGCCGCGUGAGCGAUGAAGUAUUUCGGUAUGUAAAGCUCUAUCAGCAGGGAAGAAAAUGACGGUACCUGACUAAGAAGCCCCGGCUAACUACGUGCCAGCAGCCGCGGUAAUACGUAGGGGGCAAGCGUUAUCCGGAUUUACUGGGUGUAAAGGGAGCGUAGACGGCCGUUCAAGCCAGAUGUGAAAGCCCGGGGCUCAACCCCGGGACUGCAUUUGAAACUGUUUCCCUUGAGUGUCGGAGAGGGAA